GAGCCUUAAGUGGUAAAGAAGGGAUGAGAAUGGAGCUUUCCUACACUCGUUCUGGACGCUUCAAACACAAGACGUUUGACUUGGUAGUUCGAGGUAUUCACCUUUAUCCAUAGUCUUUAGUGCAAUCUGAAAUCAAUAACACUUUCUCAAAACCUAAAAACAAUUCAAAGCAUUCAAACCUUAUGUUUGAUCCUUAAGGCGACAUAAUAGAAAACCCUUCUUCAAGGUAAUAAAAUCAAC
rnacentral:lncRNA from 1 species